rnacentral:rRNA from 1 species
UACGAAGGGGGCUAGCGUUGUUCGGAAUUACUGGGCGUAAAGCGCACGUAGGCGGAUAUUUAAGUGAGGAGUGAAAUCCCAGGGCUCAACCCUGGAACUGCCUCUCAUACUGGGUAUCUCGAGUUCGAGAGAGGUGAGUGGAAUUGCGAGUGUAGAGGUGAAAUUCGUAGAUAUUCGCAGGAACACCAGUGGCGAAGGCGGCUCACUGGCUCGAUACUGACGCUGAGGUGCGAAAGCGUGGGGAGCAAACAGG